UCUACCAUGCAGUCGACGAUGAAGCCCUUCGGGGUGGAUUAGUGGCGAACGGGUGAGUAACACGUGGGCAAUCUGCCCUUCACUCUGGGACAAGCCCUGGAAACGGGGUCUAAUACCGGAUAACACUCUGUCCCGCAUGGGACGGGGUUAAAAGCUCCGGCGGUGAAGGAUGAGCCCGCGGCCUAUCAGCUUGUUGGUGGGGUAAUGGCCUACCAAGGCGACGACGGGUAGCCGGCCUACACACUGGCAGGACAGCACACUGGGACUGAGACACGGCCCACUCCUACGGGAGGCAGCAGUGGGGAAUAUUGCACAAUGGGCGAAAGCCUGAUGCAGCGACGCCGCGUGAGGGAUGACGGCCUUCGGGUUGUAAACCUCUUUCAGCAGGGAAGAAGCGAAAGUGACGGUACCUGCAGAAGAAGCGCCGGCUAACUACGUGCCAGCAGCCGCGGUAAUACGUAGGGCGCAAGCGUUGUCCGGAAUUAUUGGGCGUAAAGAGCUCGUAGGCGGCUUGUCACGUCGGAUGUGAAAGCCCGGGGCUUAACCCCGGGUCUGCAUUCGAUACGGGCUAGCUAGAGUGUGGUAGGGGAGAUCGGAAUUCCUGGUGUAGCGGUGAAAUGCGCAGAUAUCAGGAGGAACACCGGUGGCGAAGGCGGAUCUCUGGGCCAUUACUGACGCUGAGGAGCGAAAGCGUGGGGAGCGAACAGGAUUAGAUACCCUGGUAGUCCACGCCGUACGGGCGCGCGUAGCGCUAGGGUGUUGGCGACAUUCUCGUCGGUGCCGCAGCUAACGCAUUAAGUUCCCCGCCUGGGGAGUACGGCCGCAAGGCUAAAACUCAAAGGAAUUGACGGGGGCCCGCACAAGCAGCGGAGCAUGUGGCUUAAUUCGACGCAACGCGAAGAACCUUACCAAGGCUUGACAUAUACCGGAAGCGCAUGCAUGCAUGCAUGCAUGCUGGUGCCCCCCUUGUGGUCGGUAUACCUGUCGUCAGCUCGUGUCGUGAGAUGUUGGGUUAAGUCCCGCAACGAGCGCAACCCUUGUUCUGUGUUGCCAGCAUGCCCUUCGGGGUGAUUCACAGGAGACUGCCGGGGUCAACUCGGAGGAAGGUGGGGACGACGUCAAGUCAUCAUGCCCCUUAUGUCUUGGGCUGCACACGUGCUACAAUGGCCGGUACAAUGAGCUGCGAUGCCGCGAGGCGGAGCGAAUCUCGCCGGUCUCAGUUCGGAUUGGGGUCUGCAACUCGACCCCAUGAAGUCGGAGUUGCUAGUAAUCGCAGAUCAGCAUUGCUGCGGUGAAUACGUUCCCGGGCCUUGUACACACCGCCCGUCACGUCACGAAAGUCGGUAACACCCGAAGCCGGUGGCCCAACCCCUUGUGGGAGGGAGCUGUCGAAGGUGGGACUGGCGAUUGGGACGAAGUCGAACAA
rnacentral:rRNA from 1 species